rnacentral:piRNA from 1 species
GGGAAGGUUGAGUGCUGCUGUGUGGAGC